rnacentral:rRNA from 1 species
GACGAACGCUGGCGGCGUGCCUAACACAUGCAAGUCGAACGAAACCUCCCGGCUUUUGUGCGCACGUCUGCGGACGCCGUGGGGAGCUACACUUAGGUACCGAACACCUCCCCGAAAGGGGUACUCAUAACAGUUGAUCUCUUCCGGCCUAAGAUUUAUUGCUUUUGGAUGGGCCCGCGUAGGUUUCGCUGGUUGGAAGGUUAAUGCCUACCAAGGCGCUGGUCUAUAGCUGGGCGGAGAGGAUGAUCAGCCACACUGGGACUGAGACACGGCCCAGACUCCUACGGGAGGCAGCAGUGGGGAAUAUUGGACAAUGGGCGAAAGCCUGAUCCAGCAAUGCCGCGUGAGUGAUGAAGGCCUUAGGGUUGUAAAGCUCUUUUACCCGGGAUGAUAAUGACAGUACCGGGAGAAUAAGCUCCGGCUAACUCCGUG